rnacentral:rRNA from 1 species
UGCCAGUGAUAAACUGGAGGAAGGUGGGGAUGACGUCAAGUCAUCAUGGCCCUUACGACCAGGGCUACACACGUGCUACAAUGGCAUAUACAAAGAGAAGCGACCUCGCGAGAGCAAGCGGACCUCAUAAAGUAUGUCGUAGUCCGGAUUGGAGUCUGCAACUCGACUCCAUGAAGUCGGAAUCGCUAGUAAUCGUAGAUCAGAAUGCUACGGUGAAUACGUUCCCGGGCCUUGUACACACCGCCCGUCACACCAUGGGAGUGGGUUGCAAAAGAAGUAG